rnacentral:lncRNA from 10 species
UGUCUGGGAGGAGCCCUGUGGACGCCACAAUUUCUGUGCCCUCCCAUCUGCUUACAGCACCACCUAUUGGUCAAGCCCAACCAGAAACUAGAGGGCAAGGGAGCUAGAGGCUGCAGCGCACUCAAAUUAGUAGUCAUGGGCGACAGCAGGGCAGAGGACGGUGAAGCGGAUCCACAGGGUAUCCAAGCGGAUACACACGUCCAGCAUGAGCUGGGAUCACGCCUGUAAUCCCAGCACUUUGGGAGGCCAAGGUGGGUGGAUUAUGAGGUCAGGAGUUCGAGACCAGCCUGAGCAACAUGGUGAAACCCCAUCUCUACUAAAAAUACAAAAAUUAGCCAGGUAUGGUGGCAGGCGCCUGUAAUCUCAGCUACCCUGGAGGCUGAGGCAGGAGAAUCUCUUGAACCCGGGAGGCGGAGGUUGCAGUGAGCCGAGAUCACACCACUGCACCCCAGCCUGGACAACAGAGAGACACUCCGUCUCAAAUAAAUAAAUAAAUAAAACAGGUCCAGCAUGGCCUACUCGUGUGUGCGUGUGUGUGUGUGUGUGUGUGUAUGUGUGUGUGAAAACAGGAAACGUAGUAAAGACAAUAUUGCCCUUUGUGUGAAAGUUGAGUAAACAGGGAAACUACUGUGAAAUUAAAGUUGCUUAGUAGUUUAUCUUGUCUCACAAUUAAUUAGUGCUGUUUAGGAACCACUUUGAGUUCUCGUUAGAAGCCAAGUAACGAGGCAUUUUGGAACCGUCUAUUACUACAUACAGAAGGAGGAGCACACUUACCACUCCGAGUAAUGAUGGGACCAGCAGAGAGCACCGCGCUGCCAGAAGAGCUCUGGGGGCUCCAAGUCGUCCUCCUCCCAGCAUCUCUCCUUUCUCUGUGGCUGCAAAUCUGAGGUGUUAAUGAAAACAAAUGAAAUUCCACACCGGCGCAGAAUUGUUUCUUUAUGGCCAUUUGGAAAGCAGAUUCUUUUGGAAGAGAUACCACAUGUUUAAUUUUAUUCAUUUCCUUCCGUGCAUUUAUUUAAUUACUUUGCAUGUAACUGCUACAGUGUUUCUUACCCUGGCUUGGGCCACAUUUCUUAUUUCCUCCCGCUGUAAUUGUGCACUGCCUCAUUAAUUUACAUAGCUCAAUGGCUCUCUUGAAAAAGUGCUGUGUUUAUCAAACUUUUCUACUUUUAUUUCUCUCAAGCCUUUAAUAAAUCCUUCCCGGAAAUGUUGGUCAGCAUGGACUCAAGAAUAAUGCCUCAAACAAAGAAGGAAAUAUGUUGAGCCAACAAGAAGACAUUCAGAAAUUUUAUGGCUCUUAAGAUGCUGAUGUAUACCAUAAGGAAAUAUGAAUGCUAAAGGCUGCUCCUAAGAGAAAAACCUACUCCAAUUUUCUCUGACACAAAGUGAGUGUUCAUUUAUUUCCCUUUGC